UCUCCGGUAGCGAAGGGCUGGAGGCAAACACCGAGCUCCCCCAGAGCCGCCCGGGAGCAGGGAGGGCACCGCUACCACGAGGGGCCCUCCCCGCGGGGCAGAUGGUCCUGGGUGAUGACAAAAAGAGCAAUUUGCUUUUCCUCGUCUAUCUCACUCCAUCAUACCACCUUGCAUCAGUUGAUGGAGUCUGGAGAAUCAUUCCAUUUCGGUGCCACUACAGUUCUGUAAUACACUGUAACCUCUCACAAGGAUGACCAGCCCCAGUUUCCCAUCAAAGAGAAAGAUGACUUUUAGCAGGAAGAGCUGUAUCACCUCUUAGAGAAACCACCAGCUUCUCAGUCUGUCAUUGCUUCCGCAGAAAGGUGCUACUGCGCUCAGGAAAGAAUGUAGAGAAUAUCGAAGGAGAAAAGGUUUUGACUUUGUCCUGAGAAUAUGGAAACCUUCUACCUAGCAAAGAGAUGUCAUGACCUUUCUGUCCAGUGUGCUUGAAUUAGAAACUAAAGUAACAGAGGUAGUUUAAACAUUUAAAAUGUUAUGACAUCCUGUAUUAUUUAGUUAGACCAGGGGUUGGCAAACUUUUUCUGUAAAGAGCCAGAUGGGAAAUAUUUUAGGCUUUGUGGGCCAUACUCUGUCCUAACUACUCAACCCUGCCAUUGUAGUGUGAAAGCCACCGUAGAUAAUACAUAAAUGAAUGAGCAUGGCUGGGUGUCAAUUAAACUUUAUUUAUGGAUCCUGAGGUUUG